rnacentral:rRNA from 1 species
UCGAGGAUCUUCGGCAAUGGGCGCAAGCCUGACCGAGCGACGCCGCGUGUGGGAUGAAGGCCUUCGGGUUGUAAACCACUGUCAGAGGGGAUGAAAUAUUAGGGGGUACUCCCCCUAGUUUGACAUAGCCUCAGAGGAAGGACGGGCUAAGUUCGUGCCAGCAGCCGCGGUAAGACGAACCGUCCAAACGUUAUUCGGAAUCACUGGGCUUAAAGGGUGCGUAGGCGGCGCGGAAAGUUGGGUGUGAAAUCCCUCGGCUCAACCGAGGAACUGCGCCCAAAACUGCCGUGCUCGAGGGAGAUAGAGGUGAGCGGAACUUAGGGUGGAGCGGUGAAAUGCGUUGAUAUCCUAAGGAACACCCGUGGCGAAAGCGGCUCACUGGGUCUCUUCUGACGCUGAGGCACGAAAGCUAGGGUAGCGAACGGGAUUAGAUACCCGGGUAGUCC